UGUUAAAUUUUGGGCAACGCGAUUAGAA
rnacentral:sRNA from 1 species